GGGUUUAUAUGGAGCAAAGGAACUC
rnacentral:miRNA from 1 species